rnacentral:rRNA from 1 species
GACGAACGCUGGCGGCGUGCUUAACACAUGCAAGUCGAACGGAAAGGCCCUUCGGGGUACUCGAGUGGCGAACGGGUGAGUAACACGUGGGUGAUCUGCCCUGCACUUUGGGAUAAGCCUGGGAAACUGGGUCUAAUACCGAAUACACCCUUCUGGCUGCAUGGUCUGGGAGGGGAAAGCUUUUGCGGUGUGGGAUGGGCCCGCGGCCUAUCAGCUUGUUGGUGAGGUUACGGCUCACCAAGGCGACGACGGGUAGCCGGCCUGAGAGGGUUACCGGCCACACUGGGACUGAGCUACGGCCCAGACUCCUACGGGAGGCAGCAGUGGGGAAUAUUGCACAAUGGGCGCAAGCCUGAUGCAGCGACGCCGCGUGAGGGAUGACGGCCUUCGGGUUGUAAACCUCUUUCGCCAGGGACGAAGCGCAAGUGACGGUACCUGGAGAAGAAGGACCGGCCAACUACGUGCCAGCCGCCGCCGUAAUAC